AGAAGUGUGCCCGAGACCUAGGGGUUAUCUUGAUGAGAUAAAGACAGAGUAACACACUCUCACUCCUA
rnacentral:tRNA from 1 species